GAUGAACGCUAGCUACAGGCUUAACACAUGCAAGUCGAGGGGUAACGAGAGGAAAGCUUGCUUUCCUUGUCGACGACCGGCGCACGGGUGAGUAACGCGUAUCCAACCUGCCCCCAACUAGGGAAUAACCUUGCGAAAGUAAGACUAAUACCCUAUAAUUUCCUCAGAUGUCAUCUGACGAGGAAUAAAGAUUUAUCGGUUGUGGAUGGGGAUGCGUCUGAUUAGCUUGUUGGCGGGGUAACGGCCCACCAAGGCAACGAUCAGUAGGGGUUCUGAGAGGAAGGUCCCCCACAUUGGAACUGAGACACGGUCCAAAUUCCUACGGGAGGCAGCAGUGAGGAAUAUUGGUCAAUGGGCGGAAGCCUGAACCAGCCAAGUAGCGUGCAGGAUGACGGCCCUAUGGGUUGUAAACUGCUUUUAUACAGGAAUAAAGUUAGCCACGUGUGGUUAUUUGUAGGUACUGUAUGAAUAAGGACCAGCUAAUUCCGUGCCAGCCGCCGCAGUAA
rnacentral:rRNA from 1 species